ensembl:lncRNA
CUUUGUUAUUCUUUCUUGUUUUCACUUUAUUUGUAUAAAUGUAUUUUCAUUCUUUUAUUUUGAAAAGCAACAUUUAUUUUGAAAAAAAGGAAGUGUGAUCCUCCAGCAAACUUUAUUUUUCCUGUUGCCGGAUCACAAGGGAUAAAUGCCUUUUUCAUUGGUUGAAGGUGGUUUUAGCCCCGUCUUCCAAAACACCAGACCAUCAUUUCACAUGAGCUAGGUCUUUUCGCACGUGGAAGUAGAUGAGACAGGCCACGGAUAGCUCGUGCGGAAUUUUAUAUCAUUUUGGCUAGGUUUUUUCCCCUUGUUGGUGUGGAAGGAACUAAGAUUCUGGAUUACGAUGGAUUCUCUCCGGAUGGAGAUGGCGAGCCUGAGCCCAGACUGAACUUUGCCGAGGAACUUGCUCUUCUUCCUCGACGGAGACUUCGAAGUGGUAACACACAAACCACAAACGAAAGAGAAAAAGAACUAGACUAAGAAUUUCUGACUUGACAAAUGACCAAAGACAAAAAGACAAUUGAACAUUGAGCUCAAAGGGACUAUUUUUGGGGUUAUUUUUGGUUGCCGGCUUAUUCUUAUUCUUCUUAUUAUUGUUAUUGUUAUUAUUACCAUUACUACUGUCAAUGUGGAAUUUGUGUCUUGCUUAUUUUAUUUUUGUGCAAAAUAAUAACCGUUGCUGCUCAAAUUCCUGUCUCCAGCCAUUUCAUUCCGUAUUCG